rnacentral:miRNA from 10 species
CAAUGUGACAUCGCUUUACCAUUCAUGUUCACUGAAAGGUAGAUUUUAAAAACAUGAAUGGUAAAGCAAUGUCACAUUG